GGGGGUGAAUUAGUUUCGACGUGGGCAGGAAGAGCAUCAGCAGCGAGCCGAGGUCCCCAAUUCCUCGUUAAAAGUGGGAAAAGCAAUAACUGCAAACAACAAUUACGCCUUAGCUGCUUAGUUCAGCUAACGCCGCUUGUUUCUCCGUCUGUAAGAAACAAGACCGGUGUCACACUACAGACUACCUGUUCGGCCUAGCCUGGAGCUGAUCGGGGAAAACUAACAGGCUGGUUUGUCGCUCAAGCCUGCUGCAGGGCAGAGGGAUAAACGAGAACCAAAUCUGCAGCUGCGCUCGGAGAGGCUGGUGUAAUUUCGCUUGCGGACAGCGGUGCAACUCCGCUCACCUCCACCA
rnacentral:tmRNA from 1 species